GUGGGGGAUAACGUAGCGAAAGUUACGCUAAUACCGCAUAAGCCCUGAGGGGGAAAGGUGGGGGACCGGCAAGGCCUCACGCGAAUGGAGCGGCCGAUGUCAGAUUAGCUAGUUGGUGGGGUAAAGGCCCACCAAGGCGACGAUCUGUAGCGGGUCUGAGAGGAUGAUCCGCCACACUGGGACUGAGACACGGCCCAGACUCCUACGGGAGGCAGCAGUGGGGAAUUUUGGACAAUGGGCGCAAGCCUGAUCCAGCCAUGCCGCGUGCGGGACGAAGGCCUUCGGUUGUAAACCGCUUUCAGCCGGAAAGAAAUACGCCGUUUUUAAUACUAGACGGUGGAUGACGGUACCGGAAGAAGAAGCACCGGCUAACUACGUG
rnacentral:rRNA from 1 species